rnacentral:lncRNA from 10 species
CCCCCAGGAGUUUCUCUUGAAGGAGACCAGCUGAUGCAUGUCCAUGGCUGCCACAUUAUGAAACAGAAAAGAAGCAAAGGGCAGAGAAUACAGUCUUUGCCUUCCAGAAGUUUAGUUGGGUAAACCAAUGGGUGUUACACAUGUGAGAAUACAAGCAUGCAUGUGACGGUGCCGGAUUACGAUAUGCAAAGAUUCCGAGGGAGUCCAAAACCAUCAAAAGGUCAACCUGGGAUGAGUUUAAUCAGCUGAGCAAAGUAGUAAACUUAGAUCAGUGCACAGAAGGUGGAACAAAUGGAAUGGGUACAGGCAGACAGGGGAGGAGCUGCAGUAAAGUUAAAGAAGAGAAUGAAGAGCAUGGCCUAGUUGUUUCUUAAAGAGCUGUCUACGAAGACAGAAAAGAAGCAAGGAGAGAGGGAGUUCACAAGGCAGAGAAUAAAUAUGAAGUGAAAAGAGGGUAGAAACAUGAAAGAGGCAAGAAGGUCUUCGUAAACUGCUCAUUUGUUUAUUUUGUUUAAAAAAGACAUCUGAGUAACUUCAGACUCAGACCAUGAUCUGCAUGGCAAGAAUCCAGGAAGCCUUAGUCUGUUGGAAUGAAAAACAUUUCAUCAGGAUCCAAUAAAUUAUUGCAUUUAUUAAAGAAUAAAAAAGGAGCAUGGUAUUUGGAGUUGGUAGACCCUUGCAGCCCUGCUUAUGGACUAAUAUUGGAAUUCCAGCUGCCAGUGGUAGGAAGGAUUCUUCCUGCCUGAGCUCACAGACACAAAUCCCAGAGGCUGUACAUGUCCCAGCAAAGAAGAUAUUGAAAAUGUGUGAAAAUGGAUGAGGAAACUGAGAUGAGUUACCUAAUCUUCCCGAAGUCAGCUUGCUAGUAAGCGUUGGAACAAGGCAGGAAUGCAAGCCAUCCUCCACCUAACAACACAGUCCUCUCUUUUUCUUCUGAAAGAGGAUAAAAUGAAGUAGUGGCAAACGACAGAGAAAUGUUUG